rnacentral:rRNA from 1 species
UACGGGGGGGGCAAGCGUUGUUCGGAAUUACUGGGCGUAAAGGGCUCGUAGGCGGCCAACUAAGUCGGAUGUGAAAUCCCCAGGCUCAACUUGGGAACUGCAUCCGAUACUGGAUGGCUUGAAUUCGGGAGAGGGAUGCAGAAUUCCAGGUGUAGCGGUGAAAUGCGUAGAUAUCGAGAGGAACACCUGCGGCGAAGGCGGGUUGCUGGGCCGACACUGACGCUGACAGCGCGAAAGCUAGGGGAGCGAACGGG